rnacentral:rRNA from 1 species
GAUGAACGCUGGCGGCGUGCCUAAUACAUGCAAGUCGAGCGAACAGACGAGGAGCUUGCUCCUCUGACGUUAGCGGCGGACGGGUGAGUAACACGUGGAUAACCUACCUAUAAGACUGGGAUAACUUCGGGAAACCGGAGCUAAUACCGGAUAAUAUAUUGAACCGCAUGGUUCAAUAGUGAAAGACGGUUUUGCUGUCACUUAUAGAUGGUUCCGUGCCGCAUUAGCUAGUUGGUAAGGUAACGGCUUACCAAGGCAACGAUGCGUAGCCGACCUGAGAGGGUGAUCGGCCACACUGGAACUGAGACACGGUCCAGACUCCUACGGGAGGCAGCAGUAGGGAAUCUUCCGCAAUGGGCGAAAGCCUGACGGAGCAACGCCGCGUGAGUGAUGAAGGUCUUCGGAUCGUAAAACUCUGUUAUUAGGGAAGAACAAAUGUGUAAGUAACUAUGCACGUCUUGACGGUACCUAAUCAGAAAGCCACGGCUAACUACGUG